rnacentral:rRNA from 1 species
GGCCAGACUCCUACGGGAGGCAGCAGUGGGGGAUAUUGCACAAUGGGGGGAACCCUGAUGCAGCGACGCCGCGUGGGUGAAGGAGCGUUUCGGCGCGUAAAGCCCUAUCGGCAGGGAAGAAGGAGGACGGUACCUGACUAAGAAGCCCCGGCUAACUACGUGCCAGCAGCCGCGGUAAUACGUAGGGGGCAAGCGUUAUCCGGAUUCACUGGGUGUAAAGGGAGCGUAGACGGCGACGCAAGUCUGGAGUGAAAGGCCGGGGCCCAACCCCGGGACUGCUCUGGAAACUGCGGCGCUGGAGUACGGGAGGGGCAGGCGGAAUUCCUGGUGUAGCGGUGAAAUGCGUAGAUAUCAGGAGGAACACCGGCGGCGAAGGCGGCCUGCUGGACCGUGACUGACGUUGAGGCUCGAGAGCGUGGGGAGCAAACAGGAUUAGAUACCCCGGUAGAA